rnacentral:rRNA from 1 species
CCUACGGGUGGCAGCAGUGAGGAAUAUUGGUCAAUGGGCGCGAGCCUGAACCAGCCAAGUCGCGUGAGGGAAGACGGUCCUAUGGAUUGUAAACCUCUUUUGUCGGGGAGCAAAAGACGCCACGCGUGGAGUUCCGAGCGUACCCGAAGAACAAGCAUCGGCUAACUCCGAGCCAGCAGCCGCGGUAAUACGGAGGAUGGGAGCGUUAUCCGGAUUGAGUGGGUUAAAGGGGUGUGCAGGCGGAAGAUCAAGUCAGCGGUAAAAUUGAGAGGCUCAACCUCUUCGAGCCGUUGAAACUGGUUUUCUUGAGUGAGUGAGAAGUAUGCGGAAUGCGUGGUGUAGCGGUGAAAUGCAUAGAUAUCACGCAGAACUCCGAUUGCGAAGGCAGCAUACCGGCGCGCAACUGACGCUCAUGCACGAAAGUGUGGGUAUCGAACAGGAUUAGAUACCCCAGUAGUC